rnacentral:rRNA from 1 species
GACGAACUGUCCUACCGUUGUUCGGAAUCACUGGGCUUAAAGGGCGCGUAGGCGGUCUGACAAGUCAGGGGUGAAAUCCUGCAGCUUAACUGUAGAAGUGCCUUUGAUACUGUCAGUCUUGAGGGAAAUAGGGGUGUGCGGAACUUCCAGUGGAGCGGUGAAAUGCGUUGAUAUUGGAAGGAACGCCGGAGGCGAAAGCGGCGCACUGGAUUUCUUCUGACGCUGAGGCGCGAAAGCUAGGGGAGCAAACAGG